rnacentral:rRNA from 1 species
GCUCGCGCUCUAGGAUGGGUCCGCGGCCCAUCAGCUAGUUGGUAGGGUAACGGCCUACCAAGGCAACGACGGGUAGCUGGUCUGAGAGGAUGGCCAGCCACACUAGGAACUGAGACACGGUCCAGACUCCGUACGGGAGGCAGCAGUGGGGAAUCUUGCGCAAUGGACGAAAGUCUGACGCAGCGACGCCGCGUGGGUGACGAAGGCCUUCGGGGUUGUAAAAGCCCCUGUGGGGAGAGACGAACCGGCAUCUGGCUAACAUCCAGGUGCUCUGACGGUAUCUCCUUAGCAAGCAUCGGCUAACUCUGUGCCAGCAGCCGCGGUAAGACAGAGGAUGCAAACGUUGCUCGGAAUUACUGGGCGUAAAGCGCGCGCAGGCGGUCCCGUAAGUCGGGUGUGAAAGCCCCGGGCUCAACCCGGGAAGUGCACUCGAUACUGCGAGACUGGAGUACUGGAGAGGAGAGCGGAAUUCUCGGUGUAGAGGUGAAAUUCGUAGAUAUCGGGAG